GGGGCAGCCAGGUUUUCCAGUCUCAGUGUGUUCCUUCUUUAGAAGGGGAGUCUUCCAUCUCCAACUGUACACUGGGGCUACGUGUGGUUCUGCAGUUCUGUGAGGAGACCCAGGAUAUCUCUUACACCAGGUGCUGAGGAUGCCUUGCGGAUAGUGAGUGGCACUGCUCUAGACCUGCAGGGGCUUACAAGGGAGCAAGGGGGAGAUGGAGACGUGCAAACAGGUUAACAAAUGCUUAUG
rnacentral:lncRNA from 10 species